GAUUACAGAAGUGUUGUGCUGGUUUUCGUUGGAGUGAAAAGGAAAAACAAUGCAUCAAAUGUCCGACUGGUCGUCAAGGGAUAGAUUGUUCAUCUAAUUGUCGAUAUCCAAAUUUCGGGGACGGUUGUCAAGAAUUAUGCGUUUGUGAUGAAAUAUUUUGUAAUGCAGAGACAGGCUGCACUAUUCCUACUACUGAUGCCGUAAGCAUUGGAAAUACCUCACAAAACAUCACAGAAAAUGAAAAGAGAACCUAUUUCUUUUCUGCGUGUCUUGCAGUUUCGUUAUUUGCUCUCCUUAUAGUUUUCCUACACUCUGCAUUUAAAAUCUCCAGAAAAAUAAAGCAUCGGGUAAUUGAGCAGCGGGAAAGUAUAGUUGAACGGGAAACCAAAAGAAAUCAGGAAUUUUCCGAAGUAAAUCAGAUCCAUAUAGACUAUUUAUCGUUGAGAGAAUUGUCUGCGGGGAUUACUAAUCCCUCAAUUGCAGACACAUUCACAACUGAUGGAUCGGAAUUUACUUACAUCGAUGUGAAUACUAAAAAAGAUAACUUUUACCAAAAUAACGUUUUCAAUCAUCUAGAGCGCAAUGAUACCGAUGAACCCAACUAAAUUAUUUCUACAACAAAUGGUUUUUGACUUUUUCUUCAGAGCCUGACGUAUUUGCAGAAGACUUAAGAAGCUAAACCAAAAUCCCAUCAAGAUAUAUAUGAAAAUUAAACAUAGAAAUUAUUUUUUGUGGCUUAUACCCUUUCAUCUACGAUUAGUUAAGAAAUAAUGUCUGCGUUGUCGUGAAUGUUACAGGAUAACCUCCGAGGUCGAAAAAUGUUGUCAAAAAUA